UUCCUUGUUAGAAGAUACAAAGAC
rnacentral:snRNA from 1 species